rnacentral:rRNA from 1 species
UGGGGAAUAUUGCACAAUGGGCGCAAGCCUGAUGCAGCCAUGCCGCGUGUGUGAAGAAGGCCUUCGGGUUGUAAAGCACUUUCAGCGAGGAGGAAGGGUAGUGUGUUAAUAGCACAUUGCAUUGACGUUACUCGCAGAAGAAGCACCGGCUAACUCCGUGCCAGCAGCCGCGGUAAUACGGAGGGUGCAAGCGUUAAUCGGCAUUACUGGGCGUAAAGCGCACGCAGGCGGUUUGUUAAGUCAGAUGUGAAAUCCCCGCGCUUAACGUGGGAACUGCAUUUGAAACUGGCAAGCUAGAGUCUUGUAGAGGGGGGUAGAAUUCCAGGUGUAGCGGUGAAAUGCGUAGAGAUCUGGAGGAAUACCGGUGGCGAAGGCGGCCCCCUGGACAAAGACUGACGCUCAGGUGCGAAAGCGUGGGGAGCAAACA